GUGCGCUCUUUUUUCACCAGGUGCUUUUGCCCUAAAUAUUCCCUUGGCUCAAAUCCACUCAGCUCUCUCCUCAGAUACCACCUCCUCAAAGAGCCCUCGCUGACACCACUAACUAAAAGGAUGCUGCCGUCUGUGUGUGCUCACGCACACACACACACACACACUCACCACCUGGCCUCGCUGGAUGUAACUUCAGCCUGCACUUACCACCAUCUCCUAGAAUACUACCGCUGGAAUCCCAGACUCUAUCUCCAGCAUGGAAGGAACGCUAAAGGUCUCUGGGCUGGUGCAUCUUGGGCCGUGGUUGCAAACAUUUUGGAGAUCAUAAGACAAUGUAACAGACUACAGUGAGGAUUUGAACUUGAAACUGAGCAGAAUUACAUAGAGAGUACCACAGCGCCUUGCAAAUAGUCAAGGAUCCAGAAAUCCAGGCUCUGUCUGCAAAUUCCCAAUUUUCAGACCAAACAAAAGCACAGCUCCUAUGCCGACUUGGCUCACGGGCCUGACGUCUGGCUCCCUACGCUGUACAUCUGUCUCAAGAAGGCGGCGUUUCGCAGCCCUGGUCCACCUAGAAAUUUUUCCUUAAGGAACGUGAUCAUUUAAGUUCUUUUCAGGCAGCUCUGAUGUACCUUCCAUCCACCCAUCAAUCUCCCAUCAGCUUUACAGUAGAGAAGUGAAGGAUUCAGAAGAGGUGAGUCCUACCUAUCCUGCCUGGGCUUGAGGAAGGCUUGCAAAUGCCCAACUUCCACUGGGUGGAGGGGUGGUGGCUGAGAUGCUGGGGUAGAUUACACAGCCAAAAAUCCGCGCUGUUCACCUGCUCGCUGGCAUGGCUCAGAUGACGGAGUGGGACUGCCUCAGGCUCUCUUCAGAGGUGCCAAUUGGCUUGCGGAUUCCAUCAUGUUUUGAAUUUUGACCUAUUUUACAGUCUUAAGGAAUUAACUGGGAGGGACUCCCUUGCUCCUCUGGUCCUUCCCCAAACCCUGCAGGGGAAAUUUGUAGAAUUCUCUUGUCUUUUACUUGGGCGUACCCAGGACCUGGGAACUCAAUCCACACUGGAAAAGCCCCCCAAAAUCAGGGUGACAGAUUUUUUUUUUCGUCUUUUGUCUUUUUAGGGCCGCACCCGGCACCUGGAGGUUGCCAGGCUAGGGGUCUGAUCAGAGCUACGGCUGCCGGCCUACACCACAGCCACAGCAACGCAGGA